UACGUAGGGUGCAAGCGUUGUCCGGAAUUAUUGGGCGUAAAGAGCUCGUAGGCGGUCUGUCGCGUCUGCUGUGAAAACCUGGGGCUUAACCCCGGGCCUGCAGUGGGUACGGGCAGACUAGAGUGUGGUAGGGGAGACUGGAAUUCCUGGUGUAGCGGUGAAAUGCGCAGAUAUCAGGAGGAACAUCAGUGGCGAAAGCGGCUUCCUGGACCAGUACCGACGUUCAGGCACGAAAGCGUGGGGAGCAAACAGG
rnacentral:rRNA from 1 species